UACGUAGGGUGCAAGCGUUAAUCGGAAUUACUGGGCGUAAAGCGUGCGCAGGCGGCUCUUUAAGUCAGAUGUGAAAUCCCCGGGCUUAACCUGGGAACUGCGUCCGAUACUGGCAGGCUUGAAUCCGGGAGAGGGAUGCGGAAUUCCAGGUGUAGCGGUGAAAUGCGUAGAUAAUCUGGAGGAACACCGGUGGCGAAGGCGGCAUCCUGG
rnacentral:rRNA from 1 species